CCGACGGAUGAUGAUGCAAUCAUAUCCUACAUCGUCGCCGGGCUGGACAUGGAAUACCAGCCUCUGGUGUCGUCCCUUGACGCCUGCAUUGAACCAAUCAUGCUCGAUGAUCUCCUCACUCAGAUGAGUAAGUUUGAUC
rfam:Hordeum vulgare subsp. vulgare, WGS project CAJW01000000 data, contig: morex_contig_39313